AUGGGGGCGGUGGCGAGGCUGCAGGCGGCGGUGACGUCGGACAGGGCGGAGAGCCUCCUCCGGGGCGCGUGCACGGCGGCGUCUGCGGCGUCCGCGCUGCUCCUGGGCCUGAGCGCGCAGACCAAGACGGUGCUCUUCGUCCGGAAGAAGGCCGUACCCAAGGACGUCGAGGCCCUCUGGGUGCUGAUCGUGGCGGCGGCCGUGGCCGCAGGGUACCACGCCGCGCGGCUCCUCAAGCGGCUAUACUCCGGCGGCCGCUUCGCCGGCGGCGAGGACGGCGGGAGCUGCGCCAGGGCGGUCGCGUGGGUAUGUUUCCUCCUCGACAAGGGGUGUGCGUACGUGGUGUUCGCGAGCGCCGUUGCGGCGCUGCAGGCAUGCUUCGUGGCGCUGAUGGGCGUGGAGCCCCUGCAGUGGAGCAGGCUCUGCAACAUCUACACCCGCUUCUGUGUGCAGGGCGCCUUCGGCAUGGUUUGUGGCCUCGCGGCCGCCGUCGGCAUGGCCGUCCUCUCCGUCUUCUCCGCGCGCGACCUCUUCCGGCUCUACUCGCCGGCUGGGCGCAGGCAGGCGCGGCUGAGAUCGGAAUCAAGUCAGACAGGCCUCAUGAUGAGUAGAAAUGAGAUGGCCAGAGAAAGCGCGGGAGAUGAUUAG
rnacentral:rRNA from 1 species